UACGUAGGGUGCAAGCGUUGUCCGGAAUUAUUGGGCGUAAAGAGCUCGUAGGCGGUCUGUUGCGUCGGCUGUGAAAAACCCGGGGCUCAACCCCGGGCCUGCAGCCGAUACGGGCAGACUAGAGUUCGGCAGGGGAGACUGGAAUUCCUGGUGUAGCGGUGAAAUGCGCAGAUAUCAGGAGGAACACCGGUGGCGAAGGCGGGUCUCUGGGCCGAUACUGACGCUGAGGAGCGAAAGCGUGGGGAGCGAACAGG
rnacentral:rRNA from 1 species